CCGCCGACAGCUGGAAGGUCACCCUGGACGUCAACCACUUCGCCCCCGAGGAGCUGGUGGUGAAAACCAAGGAUAACAUCGUGGAGAUCACCGGGAAACACGAGGAGAAGCAGGACGAGCAUGGCUUCAUCUCCAGGUGCUUCACCCGAAAAUACACCCUUCCCCCGGGUGUGGAAGCCACG